UCAAUAGUUCGAAUUCUAAACUCAAAUAAAAAAAUUACCAAAAUACUCCCUCUCUCCAGCUCCUCAGCAGUGGUUGGCGACACCGACCCGCGUCCACACCACCAUAGACCUAUUAAUAGGUCUAUGGUAACAUUGGUAACCACGGACGUCACGGCGUGCCGGGCCGGACGGCUCUGGUAACUGUUUCAGUUCGGAGCGAGACUGAUGAAGACAGGGGUUUCAGCGGCGGUGUACUGGAAGACUGUAUGCACUGAUAUAGAUUUCACCGGAAGAGUCGACGUUUAAGCGUUUCAAUACCGACAACAUCGAAAAAAUAAAGAUGGAACCAUAAGCUAGUUGUGUGCAAACGAAAAAAAAACGGCAGAUGAACGUUAAAGUCACGAGGCAAGAACGUGUUUUCCAUCACCGAUCACGAGUGCACUCCCGAUGUUGCAAAGACUGAAGAACAGAAUAUAAAAAAAUCCUAAUCGACAGCUCGCAAGAGGUAGUUUAUGAUGUCUAGGGGGCAUGGCCACCAUGCCCCCCCCCUAUACUGCGCGCCUAUUCAUACUUGGGUGUCAGCACCAGUUCGUCCGUGUGUGUUCGGCAACAUGAUCCGAGGCAAUAACGCUGUGGGGCAAGUGACCAGAUGAACGGAAAAAACAACUUAGGGCACCAGAAGGUCAAAUGCUGACGGUUGAAGGACGCAUCUGCUCUUGCAGUCGAUUCGUUAUAUAUAUAAUAAAAAAUAUUUUUCAAAAACUUUUCUUUUCUAUGCGUUAAAAUUACAGUGUUUAUGUACAUAAAUAAUGCAUUUUAAACAAGUAAAAAUUACUUUUGUCAAAUAUAAAUACCAAAAAUUAAAUAAUACAUUUUUGUUUUCUAUAUCUGUGCCUACAACAAUUUUAUCUUAGAAUUUAGAUCAUAUGCUAUGGAUGGAGUCAUGCCCCGAUAUUUGAAGCACAUAAUAUUAUAAGCAACGAGUCGUUGCUUGAGAUGUGCUAGUGUAUCCUCUUCGUAUAUUUAUGCUAAUAACUGCAUUCUCCAUGAGAAUUCAUGAGUGAUAACUAGUGAAACAAGUGAUACAUAUACACAGAUUUCUAUACUGUAGUAUAGAAAUCUGUGUAAAAAAUAGAUGUAUAAUAUGUUACGGUAAAAGUACGGUAGUUAAACCUAGGAUUUAUCGGUUAACCCUAAGAUUUACAUUACACUACAGUGCAAUUAUACAGGUACAAAAAUAAUAUUUUAAUAACUAAUGA